AUGCUGUACACUGAUCUUCAACGCAAAGACAAACACUUUCCAAGUGACCAGCUCACGCUGGAGCCACAGCCACCACUUCAGAGAGCAGAGGGAACAUGGAGUUAAACACCUGCUAAUUUAACUGGGGAGUCAGAAAGAAAAAGAGCUAAAUCCUUCCAAUCUUAUUGCAGUCAUGGGACCAGAUGCCCCAGAAGGAUAGCAAUAAUCUGAUCCAUAGUUGUGCUGAUUUCUUUUUCUGCAAGUGCCCUCUCAUUUGUGGGAUUUACCAAAGGCUCAAUAUCAGACAAGGCUCUUCCACAUUUGCCGUGUGAUGCUCGCGUACGUCCCUAAGUCAGCUGUGAGCCACCACGAGCAGGCAAAGAACUGGAGACUGUGCUACUGAGGAGCUGCCACCCACACAGCCCACCCAGCUGCACUGCUGCUCUUGCUCUUUUCCACUGCCCAGAUGACAAGCCCUCACUGUCAGCCCAUUUCCUGACCCUGCAGCUUCUCAGACAUGUGUGGUUCCAAGGACUCUUAAAGACUCCACAAGAUUACAGCUGUUCCCCAGACCAGCUUGGCAAGCCAGAAUGCAACGUGUUAGCUUUUAUGCUGCAGAAAUUCAUGAUGCUCAGGUAAUGCAAAUUGGCACUCCAUCUCUGUGUUCAAUGAGGGGUGAAUAAACGCUUCUAGGUGCAUAAUAGAA